UGACAUCUAACAACAUAUACUAGCAACCUAGCAGAAUAGAAAAGUGAACCCCUAGGUACAGUUAUCGUGUGAGAUAAUUUCUCUAUCGAGAGUCCUGACUUGACAGAGGUCAUGGAGAACUCGUCAAACCCCAUCGUCAGUCAUAUUGCUAAAUUGGCUCGACUCGAGUUCAUUUGUGAAUCUCGUGAAAACUCUUUUCCAGUAUUUACACUUACUCUGGCCAG
rnacentral:lncRNA from 1 species